GGAAUAUUGGACAAUGGGCGCAAGCCUGAUCCAGCCAUGCCGCGUGCAGGAUGACGGUCCUAUGGAUUGUAAACUGCUUUUAUACGAGAAGAAACACUGGUUCGUGAACCAGCUUGACGGUAUCGUAAGAAUAAGGAUCGGCUAACUCCGUGCCAGCAGCCGCGGUAAUACGGAGGAUCCAAGCGUUAUCCGGAAUCAUUGGGUUUAAAGGGUCCGUAGGCGGUCAGAUAAGUCAGUGGUGAAAGCCCAUCGCUCAACGGUGGAACGGCCAUUGAUACUGUCUGACUUGAAUUAUUAGGAAGUAACUAGAAUAUGUAGUGUAGCGGUGAAAUGCUUAGAGAUUACAUGGAAUACCAAUUGCGAAGGCAGGUUACUACUAAUAUAUUGACGCUGAUGGACGAAAGCGUGGGUAGCGAACAGGAUUAGAUACCCUUG
rnacentral:rRNA from 1 species